UGNAGGAAUAUUGCGCAAUGGGGGAAACCCUGACGCAGCAACGCCGCGUGAGUGAGGAAGGUUUUCGGACCGUAAAGCUCUGUCGAGCGGGAAGAAGUGCAUGGUGGCUAAUAUCCAUUAUGCUUGACGGUACCGCUAAAGGAAGCACCGGCUAACUCCGUGCCAGCGGCCGCGGUAAUACGGGGGGUGCUAGCGUUGUUCGGAAUCAUUGGGCGUAAAGAGCGUGUAGGCGGCUGGAUAAGUCAGAUGUGAAAGCCCUGGGCUUAACCUGGAAGUGCAUUUGAAACUGUUCAGCUUGAGUAAGGGAGAGGAAAUGGAAUUCCUGGUGUAGAGGUGAAAUUCGUAGAUAUCAGGAGGAACACCGGUGGCGAAGGCGACUUUCUGGCCCUAUACGUGACG
rnacentral:rRNA from 1 species